UACGGAGGGUGCGAGCGUUGUCCGGAAUCACUGGGCGUAAAGGGCGCGUAGGUGGCGCGGCAAGUCAACGGUGAAAGCUCGACGCUCAACGUCGAGUCGGCCGUCGAUACUGCUGGGCUCGAGCACUGUAGAGGCAGAUGGAAUUCCGGGUGUAGCGGUGGAAUGCGUAGAGAUCCGGAAGAACACCGGUGGCGAAGGCGGUCUGCUGGGCAGUAGCUGACACUGAGGCGCGACAGCGUGGGGAGCAAACAGG
rnacentral:rRNA from 1 species